UGAGUGGCGAACGGGUGAGUAACACGUGAGUAACCUGCCCCUUCUUUGGGAUAACGCCCGGAAGCGGGUGCUAAUACUGGAUAUUCACUGAUCUUCGCAUGGGGGUUGGUGGAAAGGUUUGUUCUGGUGGGGGAUGGGCUCGCGGCCUAUCAGCUUGUUGGUGGGGUGAUGGCCUACCAAGGCUUUGACGGGUAGCCGGCCUGAGAGGGUGACCGGUCACAUUGGGACUGAGAUACGGCCCAG
rnacentral:rRNA from 1 species